rnacentral:rRNA from 1 species
GUCUACUGCAUACCACGCUGAUCGCGCCUGAUCUCAUUUGAUCUCAGAAGCUAAGCAGGGUUGGGCCUCAUUAGUACUUGGAUGGGAGAAAUCCCAGGACUGACAAACGAAGUAUUAAUACAUU